rnacentral:rRNA from 1 species
UACGUAGGGUGCGAGCGUUGUCCGGAAUUAUUGGGCGUAAAGGGCUCGUAGGCGGUCUGUCACGUCGGGAGUGAAAACUCAGGGCUUAACCCUGAGCCUGCUUCCGAUACGGGCAGACUAGAGGUAUGCAGGGGAGAAUGGAAUUCCUGGUGUAGCGGUGAAAUGCGCAGAUAUCAGGAGGAACACCAGUGGCGAAGGCAGCAGACUGGGCGUUUCCUGACGCUGAGGCGCGAAAGCGUGGGUAGCAAACAGG